rnacentral:rRNA from 1 species
AUGCGAGUCGAGGGAGAGGUUACCUUCGGGUAACCAAAACCGGCGCACGGGUGCGUAACGCGUAUACAAUCUGCCUUUCACAUAGGGAUAGCCCGAAGAAAUUUGGAUUAAUACCUAAUGGUAUAUAAGAGCGACAUCGUUUUUAUAUUAAAGCUACGGUGGUGAAAGAUGAGUAUGCGUUCUAUUAGCUAGUCGGAGAGGUAACGGCUCCCCAAGGCGACGAUAGAUAGGGGUUCUGAGAGGGAUGUCCCCCACACUGGUACUGAGAUACGGACCAGACUCCUACGGGAGGCAGCAGUGAGGAAUAUUGGACAAUGGUCGGAAGACUGAUCCAGCCAUGCCGCGUGCAGGAUGAAGGUCCUAUGGAUUGUAAACUGCUUUUGUAAGGGAAGAAUAAGGAGUACGUGUACUUUGAUGACGGUACCUUACGAAUAAGCAUCGGCUAACUCCGUGCCAGCAGCCGCGGUAAUACGGAGGAUGCGAGCGUUAUCCGGAAUCAUUGGGUUUAAAGGGUCCGUAGGCGGGCUGAUAAGUCAGAGGUGAAAGCGCUUAGCUCAACUAAGCAACUGCCUUUGAAACUGUCAGUCUUGAAUGAUUGUGAAGUAGUUGGAAUGUGUAGUGUAGCGGUGAAAUGCUUAGAUAUUACACAGAACACCGAUAGCGAAGGCAUAUUACUAACAAUUUAUUGACGCUGAUGGACGAAAGCGUGGGGAGCGAACAGGAUUAGAUACCCUGGUAGUCCACGCUGUAAACGAUGGAUACUAGCUGUUUGGAGUAAUCUGAGUGGCUAAGCGAAAGUGAUAAGUAUCCCA